rnacentral:misc_RNA from 1 species
AUUCAGACCCAUUUUUGGAUAUACACUGUUUUUUUUUCCCUCUCUUAACGCACACAUAGUUUUCACAUAUUUUGUGAGGUAAUUAUUGAGAAUUCUAUGAAGAAAAGCUGAAUUAUGAUGUGGUUUCUCAUCCUCCUCCUAGAUUUUCUUUCCCAUAAAAUUUUGCAUUUUCUGUUCUUGGGAGGGAAGAAUUAAGGCUGAUAAGCACAUGUUUGUGUUGAAAUAUACGUUUGAGCCAUGCAUGGUAAAAGGAGAAACAUUUCAGAAGUGAAAUUGCAGUAAAAAAAAAUUGAAGCAAAUGAUGAAGAAAUGGUUCGAUGAUUGAAUGAAAAAUGUGAAGAAGAAGAAGAAGAAG